UACGGAGGGUGCGAGCGUUAUUCGGAAUCACUGGGCUUACAGGGUGCGUAGGCGGCUUGUCAAGUCUGGUGUGAAAGCCCCCGGCUCAACCGGGGAAUUGCGCCCUAAACUGGCGAGCUGGAGUGAGAUAGGGGUGUGUGGAACUUCCGGUGGAGCGGUGAAAUGUGUUGAUAUCGGAAGGAACGCCGGUGGCGAAAGCGACACACUGGAUCUUGUCUGACGCUGAGGCACGAAAGCCAGGGGAGCGAACGGG
rnacentral:rRNA from 1 species